AAACCAACCGGGAUUGCCUCAGUAACGGCGAGUGAAGCGGCAAAAGCUCAAAUUUGAAAUCUGGCACUUUCAGUGUCCGAGUUGUAAUUUGUAGAAGUAGUUUUGGGACUGGUCCUUAUCUAUGUUUCUUGGAACAGGACGUCAUAGAGGGUGAGAACCCCGUAUGAUGAGGCCCCCAGUCCUUUGUAAAACGCUUUCGAAGAGUCGAGUUGUUUGGGAAUGCAGCUCUAAGUGGGUGGUAAAUUCCAUCUAAAGCUAAAUAUUGGCGAGAGACCGAUAGCGAACAAGUACAGUGAUGGAAAGAUGAAAAGAACUUUGAAAAGAGAGUGAAAAAGUACGUGAAAUUGUUGAAAGGGAAGGGCAUUUGAUCAGACAUGGUGUUUUGCGCCCUUUGCUCCUUGUGGGCGGAGGAUACGCAGCUCACUGGGACCAACAUCAGUUUUGGGAGCAGGAUAAAUCUGUAGGAACGUAGCUUUCUUCGGGAAGUGUUAUAGCCUACGGGAAUACUGCUACCUGGGA
rnacentral:rRNA from 1 species